rnacentral:tRNA from 1 species
GUGGCUAUAGCUCAGCUGGUUAGAGCACUGGUUUGUGGUACCAGGGGUCGUGGGUUCGAGCCCCAUUAGCCACCCCA